rnacentral:ncRNA from 2 species
ACAUAGGGGUGCUUCCUUUAUAGGUUGCUGAGAUUAUACCCGUUGAACCUGAUGUAGGUAAUGCUGCCGCAGGGAUUUUUU